AUGGCCAGAGUACAGCCAGGUUUCACCUGCUCCCUUCCCAGAGAGAAGAUUUUCCUCCUCUCCCCACCCUUGCACAGCCACUGCCUGCUCACCAGCCCAGCCCUUUGUGCCCAUGUGUUGUCAUGGAGAUGGGCCAUUCACAAGCCUGGCACUUCAAGGCUUCCAACCUCUCCUGGUGGGCUAGAGAGUGAGAGCUGGGAUGAAGGUCUGCAUUCCCAACAGAAAAGUCUUCCCUUUGUCCAUUUGAACACCACACCCUGCCAGGGAGAAAGUCUACAGCAGGAUUUUCUGAUUGCUGCUGGAUCCUCUGCACCCCACCCUCUCCCUAAGAAAUGGAGUGAAGCCAGUGAGGCCGGAAGUCUAAGACACAGCCACACCCACACAGCCCACCCUCAAGCCCUGGACCUCCCAGGAGCUCAGGGGAAGUUGUGGUCAUGCAUUUGCUGUCUCGGAACUGACCUCAGCCAGGUUCCAGACACACGGACCGACAGCAGCGUGAAAGGCAUCUGACAUGGAACCCAGCAAGACAGACAUAUGGAUUCAACCCACCAGGUCUCUCACCACCAAGGAUAGCACUUCAGGGUACUUCAGGCUGGGAUCAGUGCUCCCCCGGGAGGUAUAGAGGACUCAGGAGGCAAUGGUCACAGACUACCUGAGCUGGGGGCAAAAACUUCCCUGGACAGAGGCUGGGCAGAUUCUGCUUGGUCUUGCUAAUAAAGACAUCAUUUUAAAAUAAGCUUUUCUUUGA
rnacentral:lncRNA from 1 species